ACCAUUUAGUGGGGAAUAACUGUUGGAAACGACAGCUAAUACCGCAUAAUAUUGCUGGAUAAUUUCCAGUAAUGAAAGGAGCUUUCAAGCUCCGCUGAUUGAUGAGGAUGCGGCGCAUUAGCUAGUUGGUAGGGUAAUGGCCUACCAAGGCAAUGAUGCGUAGCCGAUCUGAGAGGAUGAACGGCCACAUUGGGACUGANACACGGCCCAAACUUCUACGGAUGGCAGCAGUAGGGAAUUUUUCACAAUGGGCGAAAGCCUGAUGGAGCAAUGCCGCGUGACUGAUGAANGUCUUCNGAUUGUAAAGGUCUGUUGUAAGGGAAGAAAUGG
rnacentral:rRNA from 1 species